rnacentral:rRNA from 1 species
UACAGAGGUCUCAAGCGUUGUUCGGAUUCAUUGGGCGUAAAGGGUGCGUAGGCGGCGCGGUAAGUCGGGUGUGAAAUCUCGGAGCUUAACUCCGAAACUGCAUUCGAUACUGCCGUGCUUGAGGACUGGAGAGGAGACUGGAAUUUACGGUGUAGCGGUGAAAUGCGUAGAUAUCGUAGGGAAGACCAGUGGCGAAGGCGGGUCUCUGGACAGUUCCUGACGCUGAGGCACGAAGGUCAGGGGAGCAAACGGG